AGGAGAAUAACGGAGGUGCAGAGCCUGUCUGAUGCUCAGUUUUAGGUGGGGAUAGUGACGCUAUCAAACCUUUGUCUGCAGCACGGCAGACAGGCUACAGGCUUGGAAAAGAAUUUCCAAGUGAAAAAACGAGUGAGAAAGAGGGAUCUCGUUAUUUCUUGCAUCUAUCCUGGAAGCAGUGCCUCCAGGGGGACUCGCCCUUCUCUGCCGCAGUCUGUGGUGUAUUGAAUGAAGUGUCAAGAUAGUGGAGUAAAGGCAGAGACUCGCCUGAGCUUUCCUCUACAUUCCUUCAAAUACUUUAAAAUAAUUACCAUAAACAAAUUCUACAGCAGCAGUACAAAAAGACAGUGAAACAAUUUUCCAGCCUAUGACAACUUAGGAAGUUUGCAGGAAAAGUGAAAAAGGAGUACAGGCUGUGUGCCAGAGCAAAACCGGCUCCAGCAAACCAGGAGCAGGCCUUGAAGCAACUGGAUCAGUGACACCAGUGGAGGUUUCCAGACUUCUCAGCCCGUAGACAGUAAAAGGACUGGAAGGAGACUUAUAGGAGACUUUGCUGAUACUAGGGACAGGUCUCUGUUGCACUACUUUUUUUGGAUCUAGGUUGCAAUCUAGCUCUUAAAUCCCAGUGUGAGGAGUAGUGGAGUUGGGACACUAAUCAGUUUCAGGGUUGAAAAGCGUUCUUGUGGUUGCUUACAAACCGGUGCACAGUAUAGGAAAAUAGUAAACACACCUCUCCCUAGAUCAUUUCACCUUGGAAGAGCCAAAAAUUCAGAUCCCCUGAAUUAUCUCUGAAAACAACUGCACAAAAACACUGAAGCUUGGAACAGUGACUCUCCCACUUGGAAAGCAGAACUCCACUUAAGUAUAGAAUUAAGUUAAAAAAAAAAAAAUGAGCAAACAACAGAAGAAAAAUCUGACCGCAGAAAGUUAUCACGGCGACAAGGAAGAUCAAAACACACAUUUGGAAGAAGACAACAAAGUGAAAAUUCCUGCAUCCAAAGCCUCAAAGAAAAAUGUGACUUGGUCUCAGGCCAUGGAAGAGCUCAGAAAGGAUUUUAAAAAUCAAGUAAGAGAGGUUGAGGAAAAAUUGGGAAGAGAAAUGAGAGUGAUGCAAGAAAAUCAUGAAAAGAGAGUCAACAACUUGGUAAGGGAGACACAAAAAAAUACUGAAGAAAAUAACACCUUAAAAACCAGAAUAGGUCAAAUGGUAAAAGAAGCACAAAAAUCCAUUGAAGAAAAGAAUGCCUUGGAAAGCAGAAUUGGCCAAAUGGAAAAGGAUAUUCAAAAAUUUGCUGAAGAGAAGAACUCCUUAAAAAGUAGAAUUGGUCAAAUGGAAAAGGAGGUGCAAAAGCUCACUGAAGAAAAUAAUUCCUUAAAAGUUAGAAUUGGGCAAGUGGAAGCUAAUGACUUCAUGAGACAUCAAGAAAUAAUCAAACAAAAUCAAAAGAAUGAAAAAAAUAGGAGAAAAUGUGAAAUAUCUCAUUGGAGAAACAACUGACCUGGAUCUAUAUCCAGGAGAAAAAAAUUUAAGAAUUACUGCACUACCUGAAAGUCAGGCUAGGAAAAAAAGAAAAAAAAAAAAAAAAAAAAAAGGAAAAAAGGAAAAAAAAAAAAAAAAAGAAAAGAAGAAAAAAAAGACCACAUCAUUUUAAAACAAAUUAUCAAGAACAACUGCCCUGAUAUUCUAGAACUAGAGAGUAAAAUAGAAAUUGAAAGAAUAUACCUAUCGGCUCCUAAAAGAGAUCCCAAAAUAAAUACUCCAAGGAUUAUUAUAGCCAAAUUCCACAUCAAGGAGAAAAUGCUCCAAGCAGCCAAAAACAAAACAAAACAAAAACUAACAAAAAAAUUCAGAUAUUCUGAAGCCAGUCAGGAUAACACAAAAUUUAAUAAUUUCUACAUUAAAGGAUAAGAGCACUUAGAAUAUGAUAAAGGGCAAAAACAUUAAGAUUACAACCAAGAAUCCCUACUCAGAAAAAAUUAUGGACAUUUAGUGAAACUGAGUACUUUGAAGCAUUCCCGAUGAAAAUUGCUGAUUAAAAAAUUUGACUUUCAAAUACAAGAUGAAAAAAAAAGCAUAAAAAGGUAUACAGAAAAAAAAAUAGGGGAUUCAAUAAGAUUAAACUGUAUAUAUUCUUACAUGGGAAAAUCAUAUUUAUAAUUCAUAAAAUUUCAUUAUGAGGGCAGUUAGAAGGAAUAUAUAUCGAAAGUAGAGGUGUGAGUUAAAUGUGAUGGUAUAAUCUCAAAAAAACAAAAAAAAAAAAAAAAAAAACCCUACAUUAAGGAAUUAAAAAAAAGAAUGCACUGGGAGAAGGAAAAAUGCAGUAGUAGAAUGGGCUAAAUUUUCUCAAAGAGGCCUGAAAGAGAUUUUGCAGUAGAAAGGAAAAAGAUUGUAAGUAGGGAAGGGGGGCCACAUGAACCUUACUCUUAGUGGAACUGGCUCAAAGAGGAAAUAACAUACAUACUUAGUUGGAUGUAUAAAUUUAUCUUAUUAUAUAGGAAAGUAGGAAGGGAAGGGAUCAGAGAAAUGGGGUGGGGGUGGGGGGAGGGCAGUUUGAGGGAGGUAAAAGUCCAAAGUAAAACACAAGAAUGGACAGAGGGAAAUGGAGAGAGUAGGCUAAACUGGGAAAAUAGGAUGGAGGGAAAUUCAUAGUUGAUAAUCAUUCUCUGAAAAAAAAAAUUUUUUUUUUAUAUUAAGUUCCUCUGAUUAGGACUUCUCAAACAGAAAACUGAAUCAAAUUUAUAGAAGAUGUAUUCAUCAACUGAUAAAUGGUUAAAGGAUGUGAAGAAGCCAGUUUUUCAGAUAAAAUAAAACUCUGCUUCCAUGAAAAAAAUGCUGAAACACUAUUGGUGAGAUAAAUUCAAUUUAAAACUGAGUUAUUACCCCACACCUCUCAGAUUGACAAAUGUAGAAAAGGAAAAUGACAAAUGUUGGAGGCAUUGUUGGAAAAUUAAAACAUUAAAAGUACAAACUAAAGUCUUACACUGAAUUAACCAUUCUGGAAAGCAAUUUGGAAAUAUAGCCUUUUGGCUAUAAUGCAUAUCCUUUGACCAAGCAAAUAUCACUAUUUAGUCUAAUAUACACAGUAACAGCAGUAUUAUAUGAUUAACUACUAUGAAUAACAGCUAUUUUCAGUAAUUCAGUGAUUCAAGAAAAUUGUGUAGGACUUAUGAUAAAAAGUGUUAUCCAUCUUUAGAGAAAGAACUGGUAACUCCUGACUUUAGAUAAGAUACUUAUUGUUUUUCUUUUUUUUCACAGAAUGACAAUGUGAAAAUGUGUUUUGCAUGACUACAUGUGUAUAAUCUAUGUCAAUUUGCUUGCUUCUAGUGAUGGGGAAUGGGUGGGGAAGACAACAUCAAAAUUGAAAAAAAAAGUUAAAAUUGUUGCAUGUAACUGGAAAAAAAAUAAAAUAAUAAAUAGUUUAAAAAA